GCUCAUGUAGCUUAUAUAAAGCAUAACACUGAAGAUGUUAAGAUGGGUCCUAAUAAGACCCCACGAACA
rnacentral:tRNA from 1 species